rnacentral:rRNA from 1 species
UACAGAGGUCUCAAGCGUUGUUCGGAUUCAUUGGGCGUAAAGCGUGCGUAGGCGGUUCCUCAAGUCCGUUGUGAAAGCCCCGGGCUCAACCUGGGAAUGGCAGUGGAAACUAGGGGACUGGAAUCUGGCAGAGGGGGGUGGAAUGCCGCGUGUAGCAGUGAAAUGCGUAGAGAUGCGGAGGAACACCGAUGGCGAAGGCAGCCCCCUGGGCUAACACUGACGCCUCAUGCACGAAAGCGUGGGGAGCAAACAGG